UUCCUGACCCUUUCUCCUGGUCACUCUGCUAAAUUCAAGUCCCGCAGGAAGACAACAAAGAGUUGGGAGGAGGAGACCAAAGAUGGUUAAACCAGGGGAACAGGAUCUGCGGGUGGUGCAAGAAGAGGGCUGAGGGCCACUCACCGCUCCGCCCCUGCAGUCCACUGCCCGGUAUUCCUGCCUCUCAGCUCGGCGGACGGUCCGGCUUCCACCACCGGGGCUCUUCAGGCAGGCGGCCCGAGUUCCCUCAGUCUCCUCACUUGGAUAUCAGGGGACCGGAUACAAAGAGCUCUGUGAUGCCUUUUGACUUCCCUGUACAGUCAAGGACAGCUGCAAGGUGGAGAUCUUCCAAAGGUCACCAAGAGCACCAAGCCUUCUAGCCCCAGUGCCAGGGGUUGACCUCAAAAGGAACUCCAGUGAGGUUUCUGGAAAACAUUCCAGUUCUUUCACCCAGCUCACACCAUAGCCCUCUGAAAAGGUUACACAGUGUCUCCUCGAAGUCCCGUCAGUGGAAAUUCGAGUGGAUUGUUAUUGCUUUCUUCUUCCAAGGCCCAUUCCCUCCUCCCCUAAUAAUGGAACCCUAGUUUUCCUUUAAGGAAUUGUCCUUUCUCUGUUGCCAGUCCUUGAGGGUUGAGCUCCAGGGACAGGCUCAUGAAAAGCUGGGCAAAAAGCCUAUUUUCCACCUCCGUGGUUGACUGAUGAUGGGAUAAAGGACAAAGGCAGACUCAAAUCAAGACGUUGGCCAGAGAUGCUGGAGGCCUUUGGCUUCUUUAUGGAAUGAAGUCUCACAGAAGAAAUCAGAGCUGGGAGCUGAAGAGGAGACAAUUGUUGAGAACAACAUUUGAGCCCCUAGAUCCAGCCAUGCCUGAAAGCCUAUACGUGGACUUUCAAUUACCUGAGCAAAUAAAUCCAUUCCCACUUUUUUGUUGUUGAAGGGA
rnacentral:lncRNA from 1 species